UUCUGGAAUGGAGCUGUGUCAUAAAUGGGUUGUGGGGAGACAAAGCAGAAAAUUCCUGCAUGCAGUCUUCACUGCUUGUCAUGUCUCUGGUUAUUGCUGGUUCAGGUUCACUUUCUAUCCUUACCUUGGAGCUCUCCACUUCUCUGCAGUGAUCACCUGAGCUCACGAGAAUACCACCUCUUCCCAGAAUGUUAUAACAUGGGCCAGUUCUUUGGGAGCAUAAGAAUCUAUGUCCCAGCAAACAUGGAGUCCAGCAGCAAGAAGUGAUGAAGAGGAAAUACAGCACCUGUGAUUUGACACCUGUCCUGGCAUAGCUAUAACCACAAAAACAGAACAGAGAUACGGCAGAAGGGAGCAAGACAAUGGGAGAAAAAUGGCCACAGGUUAGACUGAGCUCUGCUCUCGGGCUGCUUCAGACAGAGAACUCUUUGGGGGACUGCAUAGACCAUGAAAAAAAUUAGAAUCUCCUUGUCAAAGAUGGAACUGAGACACAAAGCAAGUUGGAAGAAGAUGACAGCCAGUCACAGUCAUACCACAUGGCCAGAGAGCCAGACCCUCUGCCAAUGUUCCUUCAGCCUCCCUUGUGCUGCUGCCUGCUCGUGAAGCAAAAGGCUCUCAAGUGAGUAUUGCUGGGCACUUUAUUUACUUAUCCUUCUACUUCUGAAUGACAAUUAAAAUAUCCUCUCACUGAAA